rnacentral:lncRNA from 1 species
AGGGGCCCUACAGCUGCACAGUUCACCCCAAGCCCAGUCAGAUCAGCCUUUCCCCCUCAACGGUGCCCCUUCGGUAAAGCUCAUUCCAAACUGAGAGCAUCUGGAGCGGAGGUGGGGCGGGAAGGGGAGAAGGGCUCCCCAGCCUCUAACAAUCCCAAGAAUAACAGGGCCAGAGUCCUUGGGUUGGAGUUGGGGGCGUGUGUGUUGGGUGGGGGGGGUGUCUCCUUCCAGCCCCACAUUAAUUUGCACCGCCCCCCCUUCCCCGCAGGAGAUGCCGCCGGGGCGCCCUUUCCGCAGUUGCUACAUGUCAUUGCUCCCUCCCCCGCCUGUCAAAGCAGACCCGGCGCCCCAGCUCCCCCGGCGCCCCCAAAUGCCCGUAGCUCCCCCCUCCGAAGUUUUGGGCGCGAGGGCCGCUGGGGGUGGGUGGGGACGGCGUCUGUCACAGCCCUGGCCCGGCCGAUCAGCACGUUCACCUCUCUCUCGGUGGCUCCGGGUGUCCGCAUCCUCCCGCUGGCACCAGCCACCCUCCCUCUCCUUCCCUCCCUCCUUCCCCUCCCCCCGCAGGCCGGCCCAGCUCCCCGAGGCACAGGAGUGAGCGGAGCCCCCAGGGCGGGGAGGAGCGGCCGCAGGUACCCCGGGGCGGGCGGGGACGGGGAACGGGGCGGGCGGGGUCCGGGCUGCGCCCCCAGCCCAGCCGGGCGGGGGGAGCGGGGCUGGGCGGCGCUGCCUCGGGCUCUGUGCGCUGCAGCCCGAAGCCGAGGAGCAGGAGGAGCAGGAGGAGGAGGAAAAGGAGGAGGAGGAGGAGGAGGCGGCGGCGGAUCCCGGGUGGGGGGAGUGCAGCGCUGCGGACCCGGGCGACUGGUAAAGGACGAGGCGGAGGCUGAGGAAGGAAGCAGGGAGACCCCGGCUACAGCAACAAAGGGCAGCGAGCGAUUGGCCGGGGCCGGAGGCGAGGUCAGCUGGGGGCUGGGGUGGCCAGAGCCCGCGAUGGCGAUUGCACGUGCUUGCAGACACGGGCGAGCGCCGAGCUGGAGGUGCACGCCCGGAGGGGUAGGGGGGCGCGUCCCCUCGGGAGGGGACGUGGAGAGGGUAGUUACACCGCUCCGCCACAGCCCGGGGAUAGCAGCUGAGAGGGUGUGUGUGUCGGGGGAAGGAUGCGAGCCCAUAGGCGGGCGAGUGAUCGCCCAGGACCGGAGGGGGGACUGA